rnacentral:rRNA from 1 species
UCCUACGGGAGGCAGCAGUAAGGAAUAUUGGUCAAUGGAGGGAACUCUGAACCAGCCAUCCCGCGUGAAGGAUGAAGGGGCUCUGCCUUGUAAACUUCUUUUGCAUGGGACGAAAAAACUUAAUUUAUUAAGGACUGACGGUACCAUGAGAAUAAGCACCGGCUAACUCCGUGCCAGCAGCCGCGGUAAUACGGAGGGUGCGAGCGUUAUCCGGAAUCACUGGGUUUAAAGGGUGCGUAGGCGGUUUGAUAAGUCAGUGGUGAAAGGCCGUCGCUUAACGAUGGGACUGCCAUUGAUACUGUUAGACUUGAAUCAGGAUGAGGUUGGCGGAAUGUGGCAUGUAGCGGUGAAAUGCUUAGAUAUGCCAUGGAAUACCGAUUGCGAAGGCAGCUGACUGGACCUGAAUUGACGCUGAGGCACGAAAGCGUGGGGAGCGAACAGGAUUAGAUACCCUGGUAGUCCACGCCCUAAACGAUGCUUACUCGUUGUUUGAUCUAAGGAUUGAGUGACUAAGCGAAAGCGAUAAGUAAGCCACCUGGGGAGUACGACCGCAAGGUUGAAACUCAAAGGAAUUGACGG